GAUGAACGCUAGCGGCGUGCCUAAUACAUGCAAGUCGAGCGAACAGAUAAGGAGCUUGCUCCUUUGACGUUAGCGGCGGACGAGUGAGUAACACGUGGGUAACCUACCUAUAAGACUGGGAUAACUUCGGGAAACCGGAGCUAAUACCGGAUAACAUUUGGAACCGCAUGGUUCUAAAGUGAAAGAUGGUUUUGCUAUCACUUAUAGAUGGACCCGCGCCGUAUUAGCUAGUUGGUAAGGUAACGGCUUACCAAGGCAACGAUACGUAGCCGACCUGAGAGGGUGAUCGGCCACACUGGAACUGAGACACGGUCCAGACUCCUACGGGAGGCAGCAGUAGGGAAUCUUCCGCAAUGGGCGAAAGCCUGACGGAGCAACGCCGCGUGAGUGAUGAAGGGUUUCGGCUCGUAAAACUCUGUUAUUAGGGAAGAACAAAUGUGUAAGUAACUGUGCACGUCUUGACGGUACCUAAUCAGAAAGCCACGGCUAACUACGUG
rnacentral:rRNA from 1 species